CGCGUAGGUGGUUCGUCGCGUCCGGUGUGAAAGUCCAUCGCUUAACGGUGGAUCCGCGCCGGGUACGGGCGGGCUUGAGUGCGGUAGGGGAGACUGGAAUUCCCGGUGUAACGGUGGAAUGUGUAGAUAUCGGGAAGAACACCAAUGGCGAAGGCAGGUCUCUGGGCCGUCACUGACGCUGAGGAGCGAAAGCGUGGGGAGCGAAACA
rnacentral:rRNA from 1 species